GGAGAGGUGGCUCAGUGAUUAAGAGCACUGGCUGCUUUUCCAGAGGGCCUGGGUUCAAUUCCCAGCACCUACA
rfam:Neotoma lepida isolate 417 scaffold_439, whole genome shotgun sequence.